GAUCCUGGCUCAGGAUGAACGCUAGCGGCAGGCUUAACACAUGCAAGUCGAGGGGCAGCGCGAGUAGCAAUACUUGGCGGCGACCGGCGCAAGGGUGCGUAACGCGUGAGCAACAUGCCCGUAUCAGGGGGAUAAUCCAGGGAAACUUGGUCUAAUACCCCAUAGUAAUUUUGUAAGGCAUCUUAUAAGAUUUAAAGCUUUGGUGGAUACGGAUUGGCUCGCGUGACAUUAGCUGGAUGGUAAGGUAACGGCUUACCAUGGCUAUGAUGUCUAGGGGUUCUGAGAGGAAGGUCCCCCACACUGGAACUGAGACACGGUCCAGACUCCUACGGGAGGCAGCAGUGAGGAAUAUUGGGCAAUGGAUGGAAAUCUGAUCCAGCCAUGCCGCGUGAAGGAAGAAGGUCCUAUGGAUUGUAAACUUCUUUUGUAUGGGAGCAAUAAGGCCUACGAGUAGGUUGAUGAGAGUACCAUACGAAUAAGCACCGGCUAACUCCGUGCCAGCCGCCGC
rnacentral:rRNA from 1 species